GACGAACGCUGGCGGCGUGCCUAACACAUGCAAGUCGAACGAGGUCCAUCCUUCGGGAGAAGACCUAGUGGCGAACGGGUGAGUAACACGUGAGGAACCUGCCCCGAAGACCGGGAUAACCCUCCGAAAGGAGAGCUAAUACCGGAUACCCCCACCGAACCGCAUGGUUUGGUGAGGAAAUGGAUUCCGCUUCGGGAGGGCCUCGUGGCCUAUCAGCUAGUUGGUGGGGUAACGGCCCACCAAGGCAUCGACGGGUAGCUGGUCUGAGAGGACGAUCAGCCACACUGGGACUGAGACACGGCCCAGACUCCUACGGGAGGCAGCAGUGGGAAGUCUUGCGCAAUGGGCGAAAGCCUGACGCAGCAACGCCGCGUGGGGAUGAAGGCUCUCGGGUUGUAAACCCCCUUUCAGCAGGGACGAAUCAAGACGGUACCUGCAGAAGAAGCCCCGGCUAAC
rnacentral:rRNA from 1 species